rnacentral:rRNA from 1 species
GGUCAAGCGAACAAGUGCAUGUGGUGGAUGCCUUGGCGAUCACAGGCGAUGAAGGACGCGGUAGCCUGCGAAAAGCUACGGGGAGCUGGCAAACGAGCUUUGAUCCGUAGAUGUCCGAAUGGGGAAACCCACUCCUUUUGGAGUAUCCAUGGCUGAAUACAUAGGCCAUGUGAAGCGAACGCGGUGAACUGAAACAUCUAAGUAACCGCAGGAAAAGAAAUCAACCGAGAUUCCCAAAGUAGUGGCGAGCGAAAUGGGAUGAGCCUUGCACUCUUUAUUUGUAUUGUUAGCCGAACGCUCUGGAAAGUGCGGCCAUAGCAGGUGAUAGCCCUGUAGGCGAAAACAGUAUGAAAGAACUAGGUGUGCGACAAGUAGGGCGGGACACGUGAAAUCCUGUCUGAAGAUGGGGGGACCAUCCUCCAAGGCUAAAUACUCGUGAUCGACCGAUAGUGAACCAGUACCGUGAGGGAAAGGCGAAAAGAACCCCGGGAGGGGAGUGAAAUAGAUCCUGAAACCGCAUGCAUACAAACAGUCGGAGCCUCGCAAGGGGUGACGGCGUACCUUUUGUAUAAUGGGUCAGCGACUUACGUUCAGUAGCAAGCUUAACCGUAUAGGGCAGGCGUAGCGAAAGCGAGUCCGAAUAGGGCGUUCAGUUGCUGGGCGUAGACCCGAAACCAGGUGAUCUAUCCAUGGCCAGGAUGAAGGUGCGGUAACACGUACUGGAGGUCCGAACCCACUAACGUUGAAAAGUUAGGGGAUGAGCUGUGGAUAGGGGUGAAAGGCUAAACAAACCUGGAAAUAGCUGGUUCUCUCCGAAAACUAUUUAGGUAGUGCCUCGUGUCUCACCUUCGGGGGUAGAGCACUGUCAUGGUUGGGGGGUCUAUUGCAGAUUACCCCGCCAUAGCAAACUCCGAAUACCGAAGAGUGCAAUCACGGGAGACAGACAUCGGGUGCUAACGUCCGGUGUCAAGAGGGAAACAACCCAGACCGCCAGCUAAGGUCCCCAAAUAUAGCUAAGUGGGAAACGAAGUGGGAAGGCUAAAACAGUCAGGAGGUUGGCUUAGAAGCAGCCACCCUUUAAAGAAAGCGUAAUAGCUCACUGAUCGAGUCGUCCUGCGCGGAAGAUGUAACGGGGCUAAGCUAUAUACCGAAGCUGCGGAUGCGAGCUUGCUCGCAUGGUAGGAGAGCGUUCCGUAAGCCUGCGAAGGUGCCUUGUAAAGGGUGCUGGAGGUAUCGGAAGUGCGAAUGCUGACAUGAGUAGCGAUAAAGGGGGUGAAAGGCCCCCUCGCCGUAAGCCCAAGGUUUCCUACGCAACGUUCAUCGGCGUAGGGUGAGUCGGCCCCUAAGGCGAGGCAGAAAUGCGUAGCUGAUGGGAAGCAGGUCAAUAUUCCUGCACCAUUGUUAGAUGCGAUGGGGGGACGGAUCGCGGAAGGUUGUCCGGGUGUUGGAAGUCCCGGUCGCUGCAUUGGAGAAGGCGCUUAGGCAAAUCCGGGCGCGUAAUUCAAGGGUGUGGCGCGAGCUCCUUAGGGAGCGAAGCAAUUGGAAGUGGUUCCAAGAAAAGCCUCUAAGCUUCAGUCUAACGAUGACCGUACCGCAAACCGACACAGGUGGGCGAGAUGAGUAUUCUAAGGCGCUUGAGAGAACUCGGGAGAAGGAACUCGGCAAAUUGGUACCGUAACUUCGGGAUAAGGUACGCCCUUGUAGCUUGACUGGCCUGCGCCAGGAGGGUGAAGGGGUUGCAAUAAACUGGUGGCUGCGACUGUUUAAUAAAAACACAGCACUCUGCAAACACGAAAGUGGACGUAUAGGGUGUGACGCCUGCCCGGUGCCGGAAGAUUAAAUGAUGGGGUGCAAGCUCUUGAUUGAAGUCCCGGUAAACGGCGGCCGUAACUAUAACGGUCCUAAGGUAGCGAAAUUCCUUGUCGGGUAAGUUCCGACCUGCACGAAUGGCGUAACGAUGGCCACACUGUCUCCUCCCGAGACUCAGCGAAGUUGAAGUGUUUGUGAUGAUGCAAUCUACCCGCGGCUAGACGGAAAGACCCCAUGAACCUUUACUGUAGCUUUGCAUUGGACUUUGAACCGAUCUGUGUAGGAUAGGUGGGAGGCUAUGAAACCGGAACGCUAGUUUCGGUGGAGCCGUCCUUGAAAUACCACCCUGGUUUGUUUGAGGUUCUAACCUUGGCCCGUGAUCCGGGUCGGGGACAGUGCAUGGUAGGCAGUUUGACUGGGGCGGUCUCCUCCCAAAGCGUAACGGAGGAGUACGAAGGUACGCUAGGUACGGUCGGAAAUCGUGCUGAUAGUGCAAUGGCAUAAGCGUGCUUAACUGCGAGACCGACAAGUCGAGCAGGUGCGAAAGCAGGUCAUAGUGAUCCGGUGGUUCUGUAUGGAAGGGCCAUCGCUCAACGGAUAAAAGGUACUCUGGGGAUAACAGGCUGAUACCGCCCAAGAGUUCAUAUCGACGGCGGUGUUUGGCACCUCGAUGUCGGCUCAUCUCAUCCUGGGGCUGUAGCCGGUCCCAAGGGUAUGGCUGUUCGCCAUUUAAAGAGGUACGUGAGCUGGGUUUAAAACGUCGUGAGACAGUUUGGUCCCUAUCUGCCGUGGGCGUUGGAUAUUUGAAGGGGGCUGCUCCUAGUACGAGAGGACCGGAGUGGACGAACCUCUGGUGUACCGGUUGUCACGCCAGUGGCAUCGCCGGGUAGCUAUGUUCGGAAGAGAUAACCGCUGAAAGCAUCUAAGCGGGAAACUCGCCUUAAGAUGAGAUAUCCCUGGGGACUAGAUCCCCUUGAAGGGUCGUUCGAGACCAGGACGUUGAUAGGUCAGGUGUGUAAGCGCAGUAAUGCGUUCAGCUAACUGAUACUAAUUGCCCGUAAGGCUUGAUCCUA